UACUUUGGUGGCGACCGGCGCACGGGUGCGUAACGCGUAUGCAACCUACCUUUAACAGGGGCAUAACACUGAGAAAUUGGUACUAAUUCCCCAUAACAUUCGAGAAGGCAUCUUCUUGGGUUAAAAACUCCGGUGGUUAAAGAUGGGCAUGCGUUGUAUUAGCUAGUUGGUGAGGUAACGGCUCACCAAGGCAACGAUACAUAGGGGGACUGAGAGGUUAACCCCCCACAUUGGAACUGAGACACGGUCCAA
rnacentral:rRNA from 1 species